GUCCACGCUGUAAACGAUGUCGACUUGGAGUUUGUGGGCAUGACCCGUGGGCUCCGGAGCUAACGCGUUAAGUCGACCGCCUGGGGAGUACGGCCGCAAGGUUAAACUCAAAUGAAUUGACGGGGGCCCGCACAAGCGGUGGAGCAUGUGGUUUAAUUCGAUGCAACGCGAAGAACCUUACCUACUCUUGACAUCCAGAGAAUUUGCUAGAGAUAGCUUAGUGCCUUCGGGAACUCUGAGACAGGUGCUGCAUGGCUGUCGU
rnacentral:rRNA from 1 species